ACUCCUAUUAGUGUUGAAGAGGUUUUGGAGUUUCUUGAGCAAAUUGAACUUGAUAUGGCAAAGAGCGGAAGAGAAACUUGCAUUGUUGAAAGAGAUACUAGCAUUGUUGAUGCAUAGUUUGAACAUGUGGUUCAACUAUGCCUCGUGGUCCUAAAGCUAGAUCGCCUAUUUGGAAAUAUUUUGAGCUAGUUGA